rnacentral:rRNA from 1 species
GAAUCUUGCGCAAUGGGCGAAAGCCUGACGCAGCGACGCCGCGUGAGCGAUGAAGGCCUUCGGGUUGUAAAGCUCUGUGGGGAGGGAAGAAUAAGCGUAAGCUAAUACCUUACGUGAUGACGGUACCUCCUUAGCAAGCACCGGCUAACUCUGUGCCAGCAGCCGCGGUAAGACAGAGGGUGCAAACGUUGUUCGGAAUUACUGGGCGUAAAGCGCGUGUAGGCGGCCAGGCAAGUCGGGCGUGAAAUCCCACGGCUCAACCGUGGAAGUGCACCCGAAACUGCUUGGCUAGAGUCCUGGAGAGGAAGGUGGAAUACUUGGUGUAGAGGUGAAAUUCGUAGAUAUCAAGUGGAACACCGGUGGCGAAGGCGGCCUUCUGGACAGUGACUGACGCUGAGACGCGAAAGCGUGGGGAGCAAACAGG